rnacentral:rRNA from 2 species
GGUUAAGCGACUAAGCGUACACGGUGGAUGCCCUGGCAGUCAGAGGCGAUGAAGGACGUGCUAAUCUGCGAUAAGCGUCGGUAAGGUGAUAUGAACCGUUAUAA